rnacentral:rRNA from 1 species
AGUAGUCCACGCCGUAAACGAUGAGGAGCAGGUGUUGGGAGUGAAAUCUCAGUGCCGAAGCCAACGCAGUGACUCCUCCGCCUGGGGAGUAUGCACGCAAGUGUGAAACUCAAAGGAAUUGACGGGGGCCCGCACAAGCGGUGGAGUAUGUGGUUUAAUUCGAAGCAACGCGAAGAACCUUACCAGGUUUUGACAUCGGAUGCGAAGGCGCAGAGAUGCGCUGGAGGCUAUCAUCCAGACAGGUGGUGCAUGGUUGUCAUCAGCUCGUGUCGUGAGAUGUUCAGUUAAGUCUGGCAACGAGCGCAACCCCCGUGGUAUGUUACUAACGCUUUAGGGCGAGGACUCAUAUCAGACUGCCGGUGACAAACCGGAGGAAGGCGGGGAUGACGUCAAAUCAUCAUGCCCCUUAUGACCUGGGCUACACACGUACUACAAUGGCGUCUACAGAGGGAAGCGACCCUGAGAAGGGAAGCGAAACCGGAAAAGGGCGUCCCAGUUCGGAUUGAAGUCUGCAACCCGACUUCAUGAAGAUGGAAUCGCUAGUAAUCGCGGAUCAGCAUGCCGCGGUGAAUACGUUCCCGGGCCUUGUACCACCGCCCGUC